AUUGAACGCUGGCGGCAGGCCUAACACAUGCAAGUCGAGCGGAUGACGGGAGCUUGCUCCUUGAUUCAGCGGCGGACGGGUGAGUAAUGCCUAGGAAUCUGCCUGGUAGUGGGGGACAACGUUUCGAAAGGAACGCUAAUACCGCAUACGUCCUACGGGAGAAAGCAGGGGACCUUCGGGCCUUGCGCUAUCAGAUGAGCCUAGGUCGGAUUAGCUCGUUGGUGGGGUAAUGGCUCACCAAGGCGACGAUCCGUAACUGGUCUGAGAGGAUGAGCAGUCACACUGGAACUGAGACACGGUCCAGACUCCUACGGGAGGCAGCAGUGGGGAAUAUUGGACAAUGGGCGAAAGCCUGAUCCAGCCAUGCCGCGUGUGUGAAGAAGGUCUUCGGAUUGUAAAGCACUUUAAGUUGGGAGGAAGGGCAGUAAGUUAAUACCUUGCUGUUUUGACGUUACCGACAGAAUAAGCACCGGCUAACUCUGUGCCAGCAGCCGCCGUAAGAC
rnacentral:rRNA from 1 species